rnacentral:rRNA from 1 species
AACGAACGCUGGCGGCAUGCCUAACACAUGCAAGUCGAACGAGACCUUCGGGUCUAGUGGCGCACGGGUGCGUAACGCGUGGGAACCUGCCCUUAGGUUCGGAAUGACUCCCCGAAAGGGGUGCUAAUACCGGAUAAUGUCUUCGGACCAAAGAUUUAUCGCCUUUGGAUGGGCCCGCGUUGGAUUAGCUAGUUGGUAGGGUAAAAGCCUACCAAGGCGACGAUCCAUAGCUGGUCGGAGAGGAUGAUCAGCCACACUGGGACUGAGACACGGCCCAGACUCCUACGGGAGGCAGCAGUGGGGAAUAUUAGGCAAGGGGCGAAGACCUGGUCCAGCAAUGCCGCGUGAGUGGGGAAGACCUUAGGGUUGUAAAGCUCUUUUACCCGGGAUGAUAAUGACAGUACCGGGAGAAUAAGCGCCGGCUAACUCCGUG